GUUGCAUGUACUGUAUGUGGAGCAGUGUACAGUGAAGCGGAGGCAGAGCGGCUCCGCGAGCUCCUCUCCACUUUCCCAUAGAGGAACCCUGACUGGCCGCUGAGGGCGAGCCAUACACACGCCCUCACGCCCGGCGAGCCCGCGAGGUCACUAUCAUAUGACAAAGGCUUUGCUGCAGUUCAUCUUCCUCCCUGUGUACUUUCCAUUUGCCUUCCCGGAAUCCUGCUGCAUCACAGAAGCUGGAAAUUCUGAUGUUCCAUUCAAAUCACAAUGGAAAGUCUUGACUUGACCGGCACCCUCAGGAAGACCCCAAGCCUCUAGCAGUACCUGGUAUCAUCUCCAGCAUGUUUAUAGAUGUGGAGGAUUCACUGGGAUAUUGAGAAAUACCAGAGGCGAGUUGUUCUACCGUAGUAAGUCAAUCAGCAUUUACUAAGUGACUACUGUUUACAGAGCACAGUCGGUGAUGUGUUGGGCAAAGAAGAAUGAGUUAGGGCAUAGCUGAGAAAAAAUAAAUCUGUAAUCUCUUCUAAGUGGUCCUUGCAGGCUAGACACACAUGCAAAUGAAAACAGCAAAAUAAAAAGCUGACAAAUAAUUGCAUAGCUGAGUGGUGUGGUAUGUGUGCUGUACAGGCCCAGAGUUGAUGGAGUAGAGAAAACCAGGUGGUACUAUUCAGGUUUCCUGCAUGAGUUUAAAGUAGGAUUGGAAGAAAGAUACAGGAAGAGAGGGUGGAAGUGAGUAAUUUCUGUGAGGCUUGGCCAGCCUGUUGGAUUGCCUGUGAGUUAAUUCCUGAUGGGAGGGUAGUAAAAUAAAGAGUGCUAAGCUAUAGCCUACCAACAGCUGACUUGCCUUCAACUUCUUAGAGAAAUUCAAGUUAUGAAAAGAAGUAAAGCCUAGUUGAGACUUCCCAUAAACAUAAGUG
rnacentral:lncRNA from 1 species